GAUCCAUCAAAUCCGAAUCUCAUAAAAUCGGUUAAAAUAGUCUUUUUUAAAUAUUCUCUGCCUCCAAAAGCUGUAUCAAUGUAGUUAAGAAGAGAAUGGUCAUUUAAAGAAUCUAACUCCUUGAACAAUAGAACCAAGGGUGUUAAAAUCCUUGGCACUUGCAUAUACUUGUCUAUAAACAAUAAGGCAUUUGGAACAGCGGUAUCUCCGAGAUGGAUUGUUGAACUUCCUAUCCAUGUUUCAGACUGUUCUUGAGCCGUCCGCAAAAUCCUUUCCAUCGCAAUUCUAAUGUUG